rnacentral:rRNA from 1 species
AUUGAACGCUGGCGGCAUGCCUUACACAUGCAAGUCGAACGGCAGCACGGGGGCAACCCUGGUGGCGAGUGGCGAACGGGUGAGUAAUACAUCGGAACGUGUCCUGUAGUGGGGGAUAGCCCGGCGAAAGCCGGAUUAAUACCGCAUACGACCUGAGGGAGAAAGCGGGGGAUCUUCGGACCUCGCGCUAUAGGGGCGGCCGAUGGCAGAUUAGCUAGUUGGUGGGGUAAAGGCCUACCAAGGCGACGAUCUGUAGCUGGUCUGAGAGGACGACCAGCCACACUGGGACGGAGACACGGCCCAGACUCCUACGGGAGGCAGCAGUGGGGAAUUUUGGACAAUGGGGGCAACCCUGAUCCAGCAAUGCCGCGUGUGUGAAGAAGGCCUUCGGGUUGUAAAGCACUUUUGUCCGGAAAGAAAACUUCGUCCCUAAUAUGGAUGGAGGAUGACGGUACCGGAAGAAUAAGCACCGGCUAACUACGUGCCAGCCGCCGCCGUAA